rnacentral:tRNA from 1 species
GAAAUAUAAAUAAUUAAGCUGCUAACUUAAUUUAUAGUGAUUUAUUCAUUAAUAUUUCU